rnacentral:rRNA from 1 species
AUGCAACGUCUUCUUCAUACUCGUCCUAAUUAUCAUUCCCUCCGUGUGUUCGGUUGUGCCUGUUGGCCUAAUCUUCGUCCUUAUAACACUAGAAAACUCAUGUUUCGAUCUAAACAAUGUGUUUUUCUGGGCUACAGUGCACAACACAAGGGUGUCAAGUGUCUUGAUGUAUCCUCUGGUAAAGUCUAUAUAUCUCGUUAUGUCGUUUUUGAUGAGACUGUUUUUCCUUUUGCGCACAUUCAUCCUAAUGUUGGUGCUCUCUUACGCAAGGAGAUUCUUCUUCUUCCUUCUCAUCUCUUCGGUACAGAUAGUGGGGAUGAUAAUUUGAAUGAUCAUGUGACUAAUCCUUCUAACCAUGCAUCUGAGAAUCAUGUUACAGGG